rnacentral:rRNA from 1 species
AUUGAACGCUGGCGGCAGGCCUAACACAUGCAAGUCGAGCGGAUGGAGGGUGCUUUCUCCUGGUUUCAGCGUCGGACGCGUGAGUAAUGCCUAUGAAUCUGCCUGGUAGUGGUUGAUAACGUCUUCAAACGGGCGCUACUACCGCAUACUUCCUGAGGGUGCUACUUGGUGGUCUUCGGACCUCACGCUCUCAUAUGAGCCUAGGUCGGAUUAGCUAGUUGGUGGGGUAAAUGCCUACCAAGGCGGCCAUCCGUAACUGGUCUGAGAGGAUGAUGAGUCACACUGGAACUGAGACACGGUACAGAAGCCGAGGGGAGGCAGCAGUGGGGAAGAGUGGAAGAUGGGGGAAAGACUGAUCCAGCCAUGGCGCGUGUGUGAAGAAGGUCUUCGGAUGGGAAAGCGCUUUAAGGUGGGAGGAAGGGCAGUAAGUUAAUACAUUGCUGUUUUGACGUUAUCAACAGAAUAAGAACCGGCUAAUAUGGU